ACUUCUAUUUACUUCAACUUCCUCAAUUUACUCUACAAAAUCGAUGAAUCACUUUCUUUCUGGUUGGAAAGUAAGCAGUAAGUCCACAUUGACAUUUCAUGAGCAAAUAAGAUUGCUUUUCCAGAGCGGGUUUAAUAGAAUUCUCUCUUUGUUAAAGAGAUUAUUUACUCAGUAGGUUUGCUUAUAGGUGAGGAGGAGGGUGUUAACCCCAUGAUGAUAUGCAUUUUUAACACUUGGGUCUCAUCAUUACAAUCAUCUCAUUCUUUUAUCUUUAAUUUGCACUUCCUUUACCUUCAAUUUGCUGUAACAUUUGUUUAUGUCAAGUUGGUCUUCAGAAUCAUGCCUUCUAGUACUAGAGAAGCCAAUGGAUUAUGAUUCCUUUUGCUUGUCGUCUCUCCUAGAAACUGCAUCCAUGUUCCUCCUCCUACUAACCUCAAAUAUAUUGAAAUACUCCAUUGUCUUCACUUUUUAAAGUUAAAUAUGCAGUACUUUAGCUUCAUUUUCCAAUCUCUUGAAACUUUCUGGUAUUUUGACUGAUAAUAUUAUUCAUAUCUCUAUCAUAUUUUGAUUGAAUUAUGAAGAGAGAGAGAGUAAAAGCUGAAGUGAGAAGGAAGAAUGCUAGGGCAGCUGCCAGCUAUAAGCGGCGGCAAAUACAUUCAUGCAGGCCCCAUAGGACCAUUGGAGAGUAUGGCAUAAUCUUAUAAGUUGCUUUCAAAUUUGUUUUUGUUUUUUGUUUACAUGACCCCUAAUUUUGAAUAUGUCUUUUGUAAUUGUUGAUGAUUUUUUUUAACAAGGCCCAAAUCAUGAUUGGCUCUUUGCACGCUUUGUUAGCAACUUUUGUUAUUUUAUUUUUAUUUUUUCUUCCCUUUUGUAAAAAUCUUUGUUUAGUGAUUUAUCUUCCACCGUCUUUUACAAGAUUUAUACUGACCUUUCGGUAAUUUUAACAGUAUGAAAGGGCAUGCUUCAAAAAUUCAACCCUUAAUUAUUAAAACAGGAUCUAUAGAAGAUGCUUCUUUAGAAUUUAUAAACUGCUAUAGGUUUAGAGCUUUCAUAACUUUGUCCCUGUUUUUCUCUCUCUGUUUCUGACUCACAGCUAAAGAAAGAGCUUAAAAUUUCCUUUUUCAUGGCUGCCAUUACUUCCACUUGCAGUAGCUUCUUCUCCAUCAGAUCAAAUUCUAUGGAGCCAAGAGUUAGAACUUCUUCACCAAGCCAUGGCUCUCCAUCAUGUGGGAAGCUUGAUGGGGUGGCAACUUGGCUCAUCAAUGGCUUUGUUACAGCUUUCUUUGGAUCGUUGGAACGAUGCUCUUGUAUCCGUAUUGCAACGGCUGAGGACGAUGGCGAUGAGGGGAACGACAUCCCGUUGAUUCCGAACGACGGAAAUCUUCGACAGGAUGGCACUGCAGCUGGUCGGAGAAGGGCUGGGAAAGGCAAGAAGUAAAUGCAAUCUAAUGAGUUUGCUUCUGAUGUUGUAUAAUCCAAUUCCAAAUCAAAAAAGCUCCUCUUUUUCUUUGGCAAUCACAUAGUAAAAGAACAAAAAAAGUUUGGGCAUAGCAUUUGAAAGUCCACGUAUUUGAUGCAACGUCAUCAACCGAAAUGGUCAAAGGUUUGAGUUCUCAACUUUACAUGUUAUUGAAUUUAACAAUAUGAACAACACACAAUGAUAAUUGGUAUGCGUUUGUUCUCUUUAAUGUUAAAGGUUAAAAUUUUCAUUUCUCA